CAGGAAUCCGGUGACACUUCAAAGAAGGAAUAGCAGAGCCUUCUAUAUCAAACAGAGUGUGUAACUUCCUUCCGAAGCGAAGUUCACACCCACAGUCACCAAUCAAGAAACCACGAACAGGAAUCCGGCGACACUUCUAGAAGGAAUAGCAGAGCCUUCCAAGAAAAACGGUGUGAAAACUUCCUUACGAUUGAAAGACUUGCAGCAGGGAUAAAAAGGAGUGGAGGUCAUUGGGAAGGAGGGAUGAGCAUUGAAGUCGGAGGUGGGGAUCGAGGAGACGGGCGGCGGAAAAAGAUGAAGCGGC
rnacentral:lncRNA from 1 species